AGUCGAGCGCAGGAGCUCACGGAACUCUUCGGAGGGAAGUGAAGGGAAUGAGCGNCGGACGGGUGAGUAACACGUAAGGAACCUGCCCCAAGGAUUGGGAUAACUCCGAGAAAUCGGAGCUAAUACCGAAUAAUUCUUCAGACCGCAUGGUCUGAUGAUGAAAGGCGCUUCGGCGUCACCUUGGGAUGGCCUUGCGGUGCAUUAGCUAGUUGGUGGGGUAAUGGCCCACCAAGGCGACGAUGCAUAGCCGACCUGAGAGGGUGAUCGGCCACACUGGGACUGAGACACGGCCCAGACUCCUACGGGAGGCAGCAGUAGGGAAUCUUCCACAAUGGACGAAAGUCUGAUGGAGCAACGCCGCGUGAGUGAUGAAGGUUUUCGGAUCGUAAAACUCUGUUGUAAGGGAAGAACAGGUAUGAGAGGUAAUGCUCAUGCUAUGACGGUACCUUACGAGAAAGCCACGGCUAACUACGUGCCAGCAGCCGCGGUAAUACGUAGGUGGCAGGCGUUGUCCGGAAUUAUUGGGCGUAAAGCGCGCGCAGGCGGCCUUUUAAGUCUGAUGUGAAAGCCCCCGGCUCAACCGGGGAGGGUCAUUGGAAACUGGAAGGCUUGAGUACAGAAGAGAAGAGUGGAAUUCCAUGUGUAGCGGUGAAAUGCGUAGAGAUGUGGAGGAACACCAGUGGCGAAGGCGACUCUUUGGUCUGUAACUGACGCUGGGGCGCGAAAGCGUGGGGAGCAAACAGGANUAGAUACCCUGGUAGUCCACGCCGUNNCGAUGAGUGCUNNUGUNGGGGGGGUUUCCGCCCCUCAGUGCUGAANCUAACGCAUUAANCACUCCGNCUGGGGAGUACGGNC
rnacentral:rRNA from 1 species